CUGAGUGUUAGACUCAAAACCAGACAUUGUCUCUAUUGAACGCGUCAUAAUUAUAUGUAUUUAAUUUGGCAAUGCAGGUACAGCUUUUUUUCUUAUUGACAGCGACCAUCACUAAACAAAUUGCCAAAGUGAAAAAUCGAAUCGCUUCAUUGCGACGAAAACCGAACAACCAACAGAAAAUCAUGGAACUGGAAACAGUUCUAGACGCAUUGAUGAGACGCACCCAGCAAAUCGAUUCAGUUGGAGUCAUCGGGUUUGCAUUCCCUCUAAGAACUCUGGAGGAAGUUAAUCGCCUAGAGGAUGCAGUGCGAAAUAGCACCGCCACAAGGGAGCAAUAUGUAAGAUUUAUAAGAACACGCGGGCAUUUCCCCAACGCAGUGGAUAGAGUUCUUCCUCUACUUUUCACCGACGAAACGAUUAGUAACUUUAGCUACACGAAACAAAAUCGGCGGAUGAAUGCGCCGAAUAGGAAACUAAAUAGCUAUCAUCUAUUCAGGGAUUGCCUUCUCGAGGGUUGGGGUGAUUUUGGAAUGACGCCGACAAAGUUAGAGAAUGCACUGCAAUGUUAUAUUCAAAUGGCCACAUACAAAACAACCAACCAUGUGUCUGAAAUAAUAAAAAAAUGAAUGACUAUGGCUUCAAAUAAAUACGUUUCACCGGUGACCGGAAUAAAUCGCCACAGUAAACAACUGCAACAGAAACAACCGCUUAGAAAAAGUGUAGUAGGCUAGAAAUAUUUGGCGCGGGAAAAACAUCAUGUGCCUCACAUUUCUAUUAUAAAUUUAUUCUCUUGUUCUCGUUUUUCGAAAUUUAUUCUGAGGACAAUGUAAUGGGGACGAAGUCCCCAUUUGGCGAGGAUAAGGAAUCGAGGCGGCCCAUGCCGCCAAGAUGACGCAAUCCGAGUCCACCGCCGACCCGCCGUCGGAAGCGGCGGUGUCUCGCACGCAAACCUGGGAUCCACUGAUUGCCCGGUUAGUUUGAAACAUAGGAUACGAUCCUUUAGCAAUGUCCGACCGAGCUCUAGCGAGCGUCGGACGGUAUACGUCUGCCCGGGGCGUUACGUUUGCCUGGGGCGAUACGUUUGCCCGGUUAAUUCUUGUUUUGAAAUACAAUACCGCGCCACAAUAUUUAUAGCCUACUACACAUUUUAUAAGCGGUGGUUUCUGUUGCAGUCGUUUUCUGUGGCGAUUUAUUCCGGGAACCCGUUUCACCAUAGACCGACGAACCCUUAUUUUUAGUAUAGAACAAUUAACCAACACAUUUCAUUCUAAAAAAAAAAUUUUUUUCCAGAGGCAUUAAUCAGUUUCAAAGCUGUUGAGCACAAUGAGGAUCUGAGCAUACUACGACGAGAUUUAAACUCGAUGUCAGCAAAAGAACAGCGUAAUCAAAUUCGGCGCAAAAAGAGACACCUAACCGAGCAAUUAAGUCAGCACGAAAAGGAAGAAAAUCCAACCGAAGCAGGCGUCGAAGGAUUCGUGUUUCCACUUACAAGCGAAACGGAGGUCGAAGAGCUGGAGCAAGCCGUCCAGAGUGACAGCAGUAUUCGGGAUCAGUAUGUAACGUUCCUCCAGAACUGCAAACCAUCUCGGCUGGAUGUGGCUUACGUAUUUCCGGAUCUGUUCAGUGACAACGCUUUGCUAGGAUACAAUUACUACGGGAAGACCAACAGAUCGAAUAUGAAGAAGAAAGCCAUGCGAGAUUAUGUCAUUUUCAACGAUUGCAUGAUUGACGCUUGGCAUAGCCACGGAGUGAACGAAGUUCGUCUAAAGGCAACAAUUGUUAAAAUUAUCGCCCGUUUGAACCACAAACUGCGAACACGUGGUUAUCGAAAAAAGAAUACGACGGAAACAUUACAGUACGAAACGUUGGAUGAACUCUAUUCGAUGGAAUAAACUAGACGAGUUAAUUUAAAAAGCCUUUUUCAAUUCGCAAAAAAAAGGAUUUUUGUGUAUCAAAUUGGAAAGCACAACAUUAUUUCUACCUCUUUGACAGCUAAUCAAACCAAUACCGUUGGAGUUUCUCAAGAGGUGCAGCAGUAAGAAUGAAAGAGAUCUAACGGUGCACUCUACGAAGCUACCCGGCUUCUGUUUUCCUAUCCGCACCGAAAGCGAGGUUGAACGGUUGGAGAGAGCAGUUCGAAACGAUGGAUCAAUGCGUUUGGUAUAUGUAAGCUUGCUACGGGAGGUCAAAUCUUCGAGUGUGUCAAUUUUUGACGCUUUCAAGGACAUUUUUCACGAUGAAGCCCUUGCCAACUACAACUAUAAUGGAGUGUGCAAUCGUUUGACUAAAAAGCGAGCGAUGAAGGAUUACGUUAUCUUCGUCGAAUGUUUAAUUGCAUGGGCCGAAGAUGGGAUUGUGGAACACACUAUCGGAGCAACAUUGAAAGAGCUAAUCAAGAAAUUAAACGGACGGAAUCGCUUUCGGCGUUACGUUACUAGAGUUCGGGAGCGAAAAAAUCAGACACAGAUUGUAUAGAUCCGGCAGAAUAAAUUUAUUUAACAACUCAAACUUAUAUCGUUUUUAUCAAUUUGUACCCUAGUGAGUAAAACACGAUUACUAAAUUUCACGUAAUGUUUUAUG